CUACUUCUAUAUUACAACUCGAUGCCUGAGGCUCCGCAUAAACAUUAUACACAGUGGGCUCCAUACACAUCACAUCUAAACAUCACGCACUGGUUAUAUCGUACUGGGUCGUGCAAGGGUGUCUCAGCCGAAGCGCACUGGUGAUGUAUAGAGAUGAAGAGUCGUAAUCGGGUUAUUUAGUUACGCCGUCUCGGUUGCAGCGACCAGCCCCUUUGGUGACGUCAUCGACCGAGAGGACGGGACUGUCUGCUGAACUCACGAGGCGCCUCCGAGCCCUCCCGGAGGAUCUACACCACUCACGUCGGGUGUCAAGUGAUUCUGCAUUCUCACUGUAGUACCGUUACUACGACUACUGUAACACACGAGCACUUUGGUUUGAUCAAACCAUCGCGGUUCUCUGCACGAUGUUGGGCAGCGGAAGCAAAGCGGCUACCAAGAAGAACGGAGCCGGGACCCCCGAAUCGAAGUCUAUCGACCCUUUGCGAAAUCUCGGAGUGCAAGACGACGAAGAUGUGAAGUUUAUGUUGGAGGGCUCUAGCAUGGUGAAGGUCCGCUCCCCCCGCUGGCAGAAGCGGCGCAUGCUGCGGCUGCUGGACGACGGAGUGACCGUCUGGUGUCAGUCCCAUAAAACCUCCAGCCGGGCCAAAGAACAGCAGUCCUUCUCCAUCAUGGAGGUGGAGUGUGUGCGUGAGGGCUGCCAGUCGGAGACCCUGCGUCGCCUGGAGGGCUCGGUCCCGGAGGCCCGGUGUCUCACGGUGGUCUUCAAGGGCUCCAGGAAGAGCCUGGACCUGCUGAGCCACACCCCGGCGGAGGCCCAGCGUUGGGCCCGCGGCAUCCGCACCCUGCAAGAGAGGGUGGAAAACAUGACCCAGAAGGAGAAGCUGGACCACUGGAUCUAUGCCUUCCUGAGGCGCGCCGACCAGAACCAUGACGACAAGAUGAGCUACGCGGAGGUGCAGACGCUGCUGCAGAUGAUCAACAUUGAGCUGAGCGAGCAGUACGCGCUCUCCCUCUUCCAGAAGUGCGACCGCUCGGCCGACGGCCGGCUGGACCACGGGGAGAUCGAGGAGUUCUGCCGGGAGCUGCUGCGACGGCCCGACCUGGACGCCGUGUUCACGCGCUACUCGGCCAACGGCUGCGUCCUGUCCACCGUGGACCUGAGGGACUUCCUGCGGGACCAGGGAGAGGACGGCUCGCUGGUGCACGCCCAGAGCCUCAUCCUCACCUACGAGCUCAACGAGUGGGCCCAGAAGAACCAGCUGAUGACCCCCAACGGCUUCACCAUGUACAUGCUGUCCAAGGAGAACUGCCUCCUGGACCCCAUGCACAACGUGGUCUACCAGGACAUGAGCCACCCGCUGGCCCACUACUUCAUCUCCUCCUCCCACAACACCUACCUCAGCAAGGACCAGCUGACCGGGGAGAGCAGCACCGAGCCCUACAUCAGAGCUCUGAUCCAUGGCUGUCGCUGCGUGGAGCUGGACUGCUGGGACGGGGACGGAGGAGAACCGGUCAUAUAUCACGGACACACGCUCACCUCCAAGGUGUCCUUUCUGGAGGUCAUCGAGACCAUCAACGAGUACGCCUUUAAGACCUCCCCCUAUCCUCUGAUCCUGUCCCUGGAGAACCACUGCACCGUGGAGCAGCAGGUGGUCAUGGCCCGACACCUGCGCUCCGUCCUGGGGAAGAAGCUGCUGACCCGACCCCUGGAAGGCAUGGAUCCCGCUGCUCUGCCUUCCCCAGAGGAUCUGAAGGGGAGGAUCCUGGUGAAGGGGAAGAAGGAGCAGGUGAUAGCAGAGGGCUCCUCCAGCUCCUCAGACCUCAGCUCCGACGAGGAGGGGAGCCAGGUGGAUAAAGGAGCCAAGAAGGCCGUGUCCAGCCUGAGUCCGGAACUGUCGGACCUCGUGGUCUACACCAGGAGCGUUCCCUUCAAAGACUUCCAUCAGGCGGCCAAGAAGCCCGCCACGGACAUGUCGUCGUUCUCCGAGAGUGACGCCCUGCGGCACGUCAAAGAGACCGGUGUGCAUUUCGUGCGUCACAACAGCCACCAGCUGAGCCGGGUCUACCCCUCCGGUCAACGCCUGCAGUCCUCCAACUACAACCCCCAGGAGAUGUGGAACGGAGGGUGCCAGAUUGUGGCGCUGAACUUCCAGACCCCAGGAGAGCAGAUGGAUCUGAACGGGGGGAGGUUCCUGCCCAACGGCCGCUGUGGCUACAUCCUCAAGCCCCAGUUCAUGUGCCAGAAGGACACCACCUUCAACCCGGAGAACGUGGGCGGAGGUCCGGGACACCAGCCGGCCCUGGUCACCGUCCGGAUCAUUUCAGCCCAGCAGCUGCCUAAGCCCGAGUGGGACAAGCCCACGUCCAUCGUGGACCCCCAGGUGUGGGUGGAGAUGCACGGCGUGCCCAUUGAUGUCAACAAGAAGAAGACCAACCGCGUAGACAACAACGGCUUCAACCCGCGCUGGGACUCCACCUUUAACUUCACCAUCCACGUGCCGGAGCUGGCUCUGGUGCGCUUCAUGGUGGAGGACCACGACUACACCUCCAGGAACGACUUCCUCGGACAGUUCACCAUCCCUUUCACCAGCCUACGCACAGGCUACCGCCACGUCCGCCUGCGCAAGCUGGACGGCUCCAGCAUGUCGCCCUCGUCCCUCUUCGUCCACAUCAAGGUCAACCCCUCACCCGGCAGCCCGUCCAAGUCCCCGUCCAAGUCCCCGUCCAAGUCCCCGUCCAAGUCCCCCAACAGAUCCCAGGCCGGGGCCUGCUCCGCCAAAGACCACUAAGGACACGGACGAGGUCUCUGGACGUCAGGUCUCUGGACGUCAGGUCUCUGGACGUCAGGUCACUGCUAGGGGAGGCUUGAGGCACAACCCAAAACAUAGACUGGUUGGAUGCUCCAACCCACACCAUAGACAUAGAUCAUGAUUCGUUAAAUAUGAAUUAUUCAUUGGUUAUUAGGAUAUCGAGAUGAUUUGAACAAAGGUGUCUAGAACCGAAUUUAAACGUGCAGUGAAUCCACCACGAGAGGAUACUCAGGGUAUGCAGUCACACAGAACCUUUGCUCACAACAUAAGACGUUGCACUAUGCAUCAUCAUGAUUGAUGAGGGAUUUUGUUCAAAAGGACUAACAGGGAUCUCAGAUACAGGCUAUUUAGAUAGGGGUUAGGGUGCAUCUUGCUAAAGGAUGCCAACAGGUUGGGUGUGGACAUUGGGCCUCGAACCCAGUGCCUUUGCCUGCUGCUCAGUGAUCUGCCCACAUACAAAAAUGUUUAAACUAAUAUUUGGUGCUGUGUAGUCCCGGCCAUUAGAUCGUUUGUAGGAAAUCAAAAUGUAUACUUUGGUCAUUUCCAGUUUAGUAAAAUAAGCCAAAGUUGUAGAAGGAUUAUAUAUUUAUUAAUCAUUUUCUGAUCGUUUUUUAUUGUUUUUACAUAUUUAUAGAAGUUGCUGUUUUGUCCACGAUGGGUUAAGUGAAGGCAGUUACAUACGAUAUGGCAUUUACAUUUUGUAACGACAUGGUGCCAUUUUGUAUGAGUAAAAGCUUUGACUUGUGAGCACAGUCUUACAAGGCCUGUAUUAUCACCGUUACAGUAUUAUAGGAAGGAAUUCAUUUUGGAUGAGAAACCUGACAUGUAGAAAUGUUUUGCCAGCACUAUCUCCCAGAGGUAUGCAAAACCAUUGCAGUUAUGUGAAAGGAAAAUCUUAAAUUAAUAGUUACCAUUCCUAAUCACUUUCUUUUUUUCUAUGCUUAAACUCCAGUAUUUUGCAGCCAAUGUCUGGCUCUUUAGACAAUCCCUUAAAUCCUAUUACCUCCUAUAUAUAUAUGGAAAUACCGUAGCAUAGAUAAUAUAACGUUAGCUUAUUGCGAUGCAACUGCUGUGUAAAAGAUUGCUCCACAGUGAGCAUGUUUUAGAUUAAGGUUUUUAUAUUUCAUGAUCUGAAACCAACCAACCAAAACUGUAAACUAGAAAAAAGAGUUUGAUAUUUAAUUUGUAAUGUGUUUGUUGUAGCUUGUUUAAUAGCAAUAUUAGGAUCUGCACUACAUUUAGAUUGGAUGCCUUAAAGUGUAUGCUUUAGAAUAGAUUUGGCAUGUUUCUCGUGCCCAGUUUCUCUACACUUUAUUUACUUCAAGACACAUUUCCAAAGCAGGAAGGUGUACUAUAAAAUUACUUUUUCUUUAGUUGUGUGAAUGGAGUAUAUAUGUAGCAUUCAAGUAUGAUUCUGAGAUGUAUAUAAGUGAACAUGUUUCAUAUUGUUUAGUGAAUGGUAGUUUGUUUAAUGAAGAUUGAAUUUAAAUGGUUUUACUUGAAAUGUGUCAAAAGGUUCCAUAUGAGAAGGUGAAAAAACAAUGACUGAGUACUAUCAAUUAUUGAUCCAAAAUCUUUGUCAAGAACUAAUCAAUACAACUAUAUUUUAAAUAUAGCUGCUACGAGAGAUUCCAUCUCCUUUUUUUCAAUUGUUUGUGUUGAACUUGAAAGUUAAUAUAUUUUGGUAAUCAUUUGGAAACUUGAAGUAACUGUUGUGUUUAACAUGGUCUACUGUUAUUUUAUUAUUAAUUAUUAUUUAAUACUGUAAUGGUAUGCUAUCAGCAGCAUCAAAGCCAUUUAUAAAAAAUAUAGCGAAGAAGCGAAAUACGUCCUGCAAUCUAAUUAUGUUAUUUAUGAGUAAAAUAAUGUUACAAUUUAGGGUUUGAAUAGCUGUACUGUGUUCAAAACCUAUUUUGAAUUUCCGAAAGUUUAUAUGAUCUACAUUUUAGUCCUCAUGUUAAACGACAACAUUUAACUGAGAUUGGUUUAAAUCAAUAUAACAAUUCAAUCACAAGUUUACAUUUCAAAUGUUUCCUUUCCAUUUCAUACAUUUGUGUUCAUUUUUAUUAUUCAAUAAAGUAUGAAGUAGUGUCAAGAAAAUAUGAGUUGAUCUAAUAAAUAAUGACAAUUUCUUUAUGACCCAAA